rnacentral:rRNA from 1 species
UUAAAUUUUAUUUAUUAAUUUAAUUUAUUUAGAUUUUUAAUAUUAAAAAUAAUUAUAAAUUUAAAAGUUUUAGUAUUGUUUAAAGAAAAAAUAAAUUUAAUUAUAGUGUAUUAGUAUUGUAUAAGAAAAUUGAAAUAAUUUGAAAAAUUAUUAUUUAAAAAGAAAAUUUAAUUUAUUGUACCUU